rnacentral:rRNA from 1 species
CGACGUAGGUAACCUGCCUGGUAGCGGGGGGUAACUAUUGGAAACGAUAGCUAAUACCGCAUAAGAGUAGAUGUUGCAUGACAUUUGCUUAAAAGGUGCAAUUGCACCACUACCAGAUGGACCUGCGUUGUAUUAGCUAGUUGGUGGGGUAACGGCUCACCAAGGCGACGAUACAUAGCCGACCUGAGAGGGUGAUCGGCCACACUGGGACUGAGACACGGCCCAG